rfam:Lupinus angustifolius cultivar Tanjil chromosome LG06, whole genome shotgun sequence.
UAGCUACUAUGAUAUUGGCUUGGUUCACUCAGACAAAAACACCCAGUUUUAGCUAUUUUAUUAAAUAAAAUAUGCAAAGAAAACAGAAAAUGGAAAACUUUUCUGUGGGUUUUGGUUUUGAUUGAGCCGUGCCAAUAUCUCAGUGCUAUUU